ACACUGCUGGUUAGGGGCAGGGCUGGGGCUAGAGUCCACGUAGCUCUGGAAAAAGUUUGGGCAGAUGCUAUCUCAUCCCAUGAACUUCUUCCCUUCCUACCCAUUCUGUCUCCCCAAAGGAGGUCCCUGAUGCCCUAACAUGGUCAGGGAACUACCUGGGCUCACUCACAGCUCUUACAGCAUUUGCUGGGACCUUGGCCAGGUGGAGUUACCAAAAUCCUGUAGACUGGAGGCAGGGGGAUCCAACUAUCACCAUAUUAGAGAUUGGCAAACUGAGGCAGCUAGCUAACCGCAGAGGGCAAGAUUUGAUAUUGAGUACUGUGUUCCUCCUGUAGAAAGACCUGAGAAGCCCAAACUCCCACAUAUGCAGAGUCACUAUUCACAAUAAUCAUGACUGCUGACUUCCUAAUGUCAGGGAAAUCCCCUCACUCCCACCAGUUCCUCCUGAAACAGAGCCUCCCUCCAUCUUGCACAGGGUGUCUGACUUAGGAAACAAACUGUACACCCACCCUCCUAAGCCACCCAGGCCUACUAGAUAGAUCACCUCCGAGUCAUACCCUUUAAUGGGGAAAUCACCCUUCUUUGUGCCAGGCACUUGACAUCGUCACUGCUCACAUCAGCCCUAAGGUUAGUACUACAGUCUGCGAUGGGGAAACGGAGGGUCCCAGAUAAGUCACUACUAAUCCAUGGUCAAAGCAAGAAAGUGGCAGGGCUGGGACUCGAACUUAGGUUUGCCUGACUCCAGCGGGUCCCCGCCCAGGCGGGAGGCCCUCCCAGCUGAAGCCUUUCGCUGACUAGAUUACCUGGGGGAAAAUGACUUAACCUCUUCGAACCCCCAGAAGGUCAGAAGCUUUGCUUUUGGGGGAGAAAAUGGUGUGCAAACGAGACGCGAAGGAAACGCAAACCCUCGGGCGUCGGCGCAGCCUCUUCCCCGAGCCUGGGUCUGUCUAAUGGCCCAGAGGGAGAGGUCGCACCCCCGACCCCUGGCACCUGCGAAACCAAGCGCCCGGUCGGCUGGCAGAAACGAAACCUCAACACCCUCCAGCCUCCCCCGCUUGGUUCCCGGAACCGGCGAGCCAGGCUUCGCGGAAACUUGCCCGGCGGCAGCCGCCUAGGGCCCCGGGAUCGCCCUGACCGCAG
rnacentral:lncRNA from 1 species